rnacentral:rRNA from 1 species
GCAUAUCAAUAAGCGGAGGAAAAGAAACCAACAGGGAUUGCCUCAGUAACGGCGAAGUGAAGCGGCAAGAAGCUCAAAUUUGAAAGCUGGCCCCCUCGGGGUCCGCAUUGUAAUUUGCAGAGGAUGCUUCGGGAGUGGCCCCCAUCUAAGUGCUCUGGAACGGGCCGUCAUAGAGGGUGAGAAUCCCGUAUGGGAUGGGGUGUCCGCGACCAUGUGAAGCUCCUUCGACGAGUCGAGUUGUUUGGGAAUGCAGCUCUAAAUGGGUGGUAAAUUUCAUCUAAAGCUAAAUAUUGGCCGGAGACCGAUAGCGCACAAGUAGAGUGAUCGAAAGAUGAAAAGCACUUUGAAAAGAGAGUUAAAAAGCACGUGAAAUUGUUGAAAGGGAAGCGCUUGCGACCAGACUCGCCUGCGGGGUUCAGCCGGUAUUCGUACCGGUGUACUUCCCCGUGGGCGGGCCAGCGUCGGUUUGGGCGGCCGGUCAAAGGCCCUCGGAAUGUAACGCCUCUCGGGGCGUCUUAUAGCCGAGGGUGCCAUGCGGCCAGCCCGGACCGAGGAACGCGCUUCGGCACGGACGCUGGCAUAAUGGUCGUAAGCGACCCGUCUUGAAACACGGACCAAGGAGUCUAACAUCUACGCGAGUGUUCGGGUGUCAAACCCGUGCGCGCAGUGAAAGCGAACGGAGGUGGGAACCCUCACGGGUGCACCAUCGACCGAUCCUGAUGUCUUCGGAUGGAUUUGAGUAAGAGCGUAGCUGUUGGGACCCGAAAGAUGGUGAACUAUGCCUGAAUAGGGCGAAGCCAGAGGAAACUCUGGUGGAGGCUCGCAGCGGUUCUGACGUGCAAAUCGAUCGUCAAAUUUGGGUAUAGGGGCGAAAGACUAAUCGAACCAUCUAGUAGCUGGGUCCUGC